rnacentral:rRNA from 1 species
UACGAAGGGGGCUAGCGUUGCUCGGAAUCACUGGGCGUAAAGGGUGCGUAGGCGGGUCUUUAAGUCAGGGGUGAAAUCCUGGAGCUCAACCCCAGAACUGCCUUUGAUACUGAAGAUCUUGAGUUCGGGAGAGGUGAGUGGAACUGCGAGUGUAGAGGUGAAAUUCGUAGAUAUUCGCAAGAACACCAGUGGCGAAGGCGGCGCACUGGCCCGAUACUGACGCUGAGGCACGAAAGCGUGGGGAGCAAACAGG